rnacentral:rRNA from 1 species
GAUGAACGCUGGCGGCGUGCUUAACACAUGCAAGUCGAACGAGAAGUGGAGACGGAAACCUUCGUGCCGAAGACUUUAUUUCGAGUGGCGGACGGUUGAGUAACGCGUUGGUAACCUGCCUCAUACAGGGGGAUAACAGUUGGAAACGACUGUUAAUACCGCAUAAGACCACAGCACCGCAUGGUGCGGGGUUAAAAACUCCGCUGGUAUGAGAUGGACCCCCGUUCGAUUAGCCAGUUGGCGGGGGAACGGCCCACCAAAGCGACGAUCGAUAGCCGAUAUGAGAGGCUGGGCGGAGACACUGGGAGGGAGCCACGGCAGGGACUCCUCCGGGAGGCAGGAGUGGGGAACAGUGCACAAUGGGGGGAACGAUGAUGCAGCGCGGCUGGGUGAGCGAAGAAGUAUGGGGGUAUGUAAAGCUCUAUGAGCAGGGAAGAAAAUGACGGUACCUGAGUAAGAAGCCACGGCUAACUACGUG